rnacentral:rRNA from 1 species
UACGUAGGGUGCGAGCGUUAAUCGGAAUUACUGGGCGUAAAGCGUGCGCAGGCGGUUUUGUAAGCCAGAUGUGAAAGCCCCGGGCUUAACCUGGGAAUGGCAUUUGGGACUGCAAGGCUUGAGUGCGGCAGAGGAGACUGGAAUUCCUGGUGUAGCAGUGAAAUGCGUAGAUAUCAGGAGGAACACCGGUGGCGAAGGCAGGUCUCCUGGGCCGAUGACUGACGCUGGAGGAGCGAAAGCGUGGGGAGCGAACAGGA